UACGUAGGGAGCAAGCGUUAUCCGGAUUUACUGGGUGUAAAGGGCGCGUAGGCGGGAUGGCAAGUCAGAUGUGAAAUCCAGGGGCUCAACCCCUGAACUGCAUUUGAAACUGUCGUUCUUGAGUACUGGAGAGGUUGACGGAAUUCCUAGUGUAGCGGUGAAAUGCGUAGAUAUUAGGAGGAACACCAGUGGCGAAGGCGGUCAGCUGGACAGCAACUGACGCUGAGGCGCGAAAGCGUGGGGAGCAAACAGG
rnacentral:rRNA from 1 species